GUCAAGGCCCAGGGCCGAGAAAAAAGGGAGGGACCGAUGAUGGGCAGGACCAAGACUGCAGGCACCUGCUUGUAGCCCUUGACCUCUGACUACGCAGGGUCAGAGUCUUAGCGUAGAGAACUGCAGCGGGAGUCGGGAGGUCCCGGAUGCGACCACUACCCCAAACUUUCGGGCCAGGUGUGGGGGAGGAGGCGAACAACGCUGGUGACCUGGGAGUUGUGCCCCAGCAGGAGGGCUGGCGUGGGGAGGGCGCCAGUGACUUGGUGGACGCGCGGCGCGACCUCGCCGAGCCCCGUCCAGUCUGCAUUCCCGCGCCGAGGUCCUGAUGGCCAGCUCCAGCCCUGCCCGCUCACUGGGAACUUUAGAGGAGCCUUAUGGAGAGUGACGGGGUGGGGGCGGCCCAGGGAUUUCCUGGGACUCCCAAGGCAGGGUGGAUUGUGGCCGGGAGAGGUGCCUGGGAAUGCGACGGGAGGCUGAGACUCCGCUCCCAGCCCCCCAAUCCCGCCGCUCUCUCG
rnacentral:lncRNA from 1 species